UAAAUUAUGCUAUUAGGCCUCUGAAUAGUAAAAUCAGUUUCUGUUGAUUUCCUCUUCACUAUUAACUCAUUCAGAAGAGCAGCAAGUCACAACUGAGAAUUAUGAUGAUGUAAUCACUGUUGGACUGAGACCUCGUGAUACAGAAAACUAUGAUGAUGUCAUCAUUGUACAACAAUUCUCCAAUGAUAAAGCAGAUGGCAUUAAGGAGGAUUAUGAUGAUGUGAAGAAUGUCGGGGAGUGUAUGAGUGAUGUGAUUGAUUAUGAUGAUGUGGGGGAGGAGCCAGGAAUACAGGGAGGGACUGUUUAAAAUCCUUUUAAAUCUUUUAAGUGAUCUGAAACAUUUCUGUGAUGUAGAUUUGGCAAUUUGAGAGAGAGAGAGAAAAAACAUCUUUUCCUAACAUUUAAUCAGUUUGUAUAUAAUUAUGAUUUCAGAUGCUUCACCUUUUACCCUCCACUGUCCCAGUCUUUAACAUUUUACAACAACUUAAAAAACAUCAUACUUAAAAAAAAAAAAAAAGAAAAAAGAAAAAAUCAUAUUCCUUUUGAAUGUAGACCCACUGAUGGUGGACAAAUAUAUUUUGCUAAAGAUCAUUGGAAUGUACUUUGUGAAAUAAGUUUACAAACAGCAGCUGUGGUCAAGGAUCUUUACCUCAAAAUAAUGUAAAGACUCUUUGAACUGAGCAGAAGAGCUUGUUGUUCACUUUAUGUCCUGCAGAGGGUUGUGUGACAGUCAGACAUUGUUACAUGGCAUUCAUAUGUUUGUUUUAUGUACUUGUUUUAUAUUUGUGUCUAAUUUGAUUGCUAAUUUGAAUUGAUUUGAAUGUUUUCUGUUUAGCAUUAAAAUCAGACUGACUGUAUUAUGUCAUUAUUAUUAUCAUCAUUAUCAUUAUUGUAAA